GCCGGCGACCAUACCACGUUGAAAGCACCGGUUCUCGUCCGAUCACCGCAGUUAAUCAGCGUCGAGCACGGUCAGCACUUGUAUGGGUGACCGGCUGGGAAUACCGAGUGUCGCCAGCC
rnacentral:rRNA from 1 species